rnacentral:lncRNA from 1 species
GGUUUUGAUGGCUUAGAAUCUUAAAAAAUCUCUAAGUAUUUGUAAUAGAUAAUUAUUUGACUUCGAUCAGAUGAAUCAUAAAAAAACAUUACUUGACCUUGGUUGAGUUAAUCAUAAAGCCAAUGUGCCAUAACUUAACAACUUAAGUCAUUGAUAUAACCUGAUCUUUAAUAAUCAAAUCGAUUAACUAGAAGAAAUUCAAAUCUAAUGACUAAAAUAUUCAUAAUAAAGGUUUAAGAAUUACCUCUUGAAUUUGGAAUG